rnacentral:rRNA from 1 species
GCACAAUGGGGGAAACCCUGAUGCAGCGACGCCGCGUGAGUGAAGAAGUAUUUCGGUAUGUAAAGCUCUAUCAGCAGGGAAGAAAUACUGACCAUAGGGUCAGCAGACGGUACUUGACUAAGAAGCCCCGGCUAACUACGUGCCAGCAGCCGCGGUAAUACGUAGGGGGCAAGCGUUAUCCGGAUUUACUGGGUGUAAAGGGAGCGUAGACGGCAGCGCAAGUCUGAAGUGAAAUGCCAGGGCUUAACCCUGGAACUGCUUUGGAAACUGUGCAGCUAGAGUGCAGGAGAGGUAAGUGGAAUUUCUAGUGUAGCGGUGAAAUGCGUAGAUAUUAGGAGGAACACCAGUGGCGAAGGCGGCUUACUGGACUGUAACUGACGUUGAGGCUCGAAAGCGUGGGGAGCAAACAGGAUUAGAUACCCUGGUAGUCCACGCUGUAAACGAUGAUUACUAGGUGUUGGGGGACCAA